GAAAUGCGAUAAGUAAUGUGAAUUGCAGAAUUCAGUGAAUCAUCGAAUCUUUGAACGCACAUUGCGCCCGCCAGUAUUCUGGCGGGCAUGCCUGUUCGAGCGUCAUUUCAACCAUCAAGCCCCCGGCUUGUGUUGGGGACCUGCGGCUGCCCGCAGGCCCUGAAAAACAGUGGCGGGCUCGCUGUCACACCGAGCGUAGUAGCAUACAUUCUCGCUCAGGGCUUGCUGCGGGUUCCGGCCGUUAAACGACCUUCAUAACCCAAGGUUGACCUCGGAUCAGGUAGGAAGACCCGCUGAACUUAAGC
rnacentral:misc_RNA from 1 species